GGAGGCGUCGCCUAGUACGGUCUAUGGCGCCCGCCUGCUAAGCGGGUUGAGGACUUCAAUCCUCUCGUGGGUUCAAAUCCCACCGCCUCCGCCA
rnacentral:tRNA from 1 species